UGAAUAUGGAUCAGUGCCGAUAAACUCGAUGAGCGGAGAGAAAAUAAAAAAAUGGGAUAUAAACAAGAAAGAAGAUUUUAUUAUAAAUUUAGACAGAGAAAAGAUUUCUGAAUUACAAAGUUAUCUCGAAGAAACCAAAUCUUGUCCUACUGAUUCAAACAUUUUUAUAAACAAAGCUGUAGAAACUAUUACGAACAUAUUUGUGACUUCUGCGAAGAAAACGUUCGGAACCUCAAAAAACAAGUCAAAGAACGAAAAUACCCCUCAGAGUACAAGAUCGCAAGAUGAAAAACCAUGGUUUAACAUAGAUUGUAAAAUUGCUAGGAAAAAUGCGAGAAAAUACAGAAGAAAAUAUAAAUUUAACAAAUCCAUUGUAAACCAGGAAAAUAAAAAACGAAGUGAAAGACUAUACAAAAAUACCAUGAACAGAAACAUAAAAAAGUAUAGGAAAAAUGUGCGAAAUGAUAUGAAAAAUAUGAAAACCACGAACUCAAAAGAAUACUGGAAAAUUCUAAAUGGAGGCUCUAGAAAGACACAAC
rnacentral:lncRNA from 1 species